UCGGACGCUGAUUUUACCGUAGCAAUACGGUGAAGUCGGAGUGGCGUAAGGGUGCGUAACACGUGGGUAAUUUGCCGUGAAGUUUGGGAUAACUUGCUGAAAGGCGAGCUAAUACCGGAUGUGACUAUUGGGAGGCAUCUCCUGAUAUUUAAAGUUGGGGACCGUAAGGCCUGACGCUUCACGAUAAGCCCGCGGCCUAUCAGCUAGUUGGUGAGGUAACGGCUCACCAAGGCUAAGACGGGUAGCUGGUCUGAGAGGACGACCAGCCACACUGGAACUGAGACACGGUCCAGACACCUACGGGUGGCAGCAGUCGAGAAUUUUUCACAAUGGGCGAAAGCCUGAUGGAGCGACGCCGCGUGGGGGGAUGAAGGGCUUCGGCCCGUAAACCCCUGUCAUUUGCGAACAAACCUUUUCAUUGAACAGAUGAAAAGCUGAUUGUAGCGAAAGAGGAAGGGACGGCUAACUCUGUGCCAGCAGCCGCGGUAAUACAGAGGUCCCAAGCGUUGUUCGGAUUCACUGGGCGUAAAGGGUGCGUAGGUGGUGGGGGUAAAAUUUUGAUGGGGAAAUCUCCCAACCUUAACUCGGAAAUGGCAUUGAAUACUACUCUGCUAGAGGGUCGGAAGGGAGACUGGAAAUUUUCGGUGUAGCAGUGAAAUGCGUGGAUUUCGAAAGGAACACCAGUGGGCGAAAGCGAGUCUCUGGACGACUCCUGACACUGAGGCACGAAAGCUAGGGGAGCAAACAGGAUUAGAUACCCUGGUAGUCCUAGCCCGUAAACGGUGCACAUUUGCUGUAAGAGGAAUCGACCCCUUUUGUGGCGAAGCUUACGCGCUAAAUGUGCC
rnacentral:rRNA from 1 species